UACGGAGGAUGCGAGCGUUAUCCGGAUUUAUUGGGUUUAAAGGGUGCGUAGGCGGCGAGUUAAGUCAGCGGUAAAAGCCCGGGGCUCAACCCCGGCCCGCCGUUGAAACUGGCUGGCUUGAGUUGGGGAAAGGCAGGCGGAAUGCGCGGUGUAGCGGUGAAAUGCAUAGAUAUCGCGCGGAACCCCGAUUGCGAAGGCAGCCUGCCGGCCCCACACUGACGCUGAGGCACGAAAGCGUGGGUAUCGAACAGG
rnacentral:rRNA from 1 species